GGGCUAGUAGCCUAAUGGUUCAGGCAACGCCCUUUUAAGACGUCUGAUGCUGGUUCGAUUCCAGUCUAGCCCA
rnacentral:tRNA from 1 species